GGGGAGACCAGAGGGUGAGGAGGGGGAGGAACCGGAGGAUGGAAGAGCUGAGGGGGUUAGUGAGUUCUGGACCAGAGAACAGCUGAGACACAGGUGUGAGAGAACAGUCCAUGUGAGAACAGUCCAGGUGUGUGUGAGAACAGUCCAGAUGUGUGAGAACAGUCCAGGUGUGUGAGAACAGUCCAGGUGUGUGUGAGAACAGUCCAGGUGUGUGUGAGAACAGUCCAGGUGUGUGUGAGAACAGUCCAGGUGUGUGUGAGAACAGUCCAGGUGUGUGUGAGAACAGUCCAGGUGUGUGUGAGAACAGUCCAGGUGUGUGUGAGAACAGUCCAGGUGUGUGUGAGAACAGUCCAGGUGUGUGUGAGAACAGUCCAGGUGUGUGUGAGAACAGUCCAGGUGUGUGAGAACAGUCCAUAUGUGUGAGAACAGUCCAUAUGUGUGAGAACAGUCCAGGUGUGUGAGAACAGUCCAGGUGUGUGAGAACAGUCCAGGUGUGUGAGAACAGUCCAGGUGUGUGAGAACAGUCCAGAUGUGUGAGAACAGUCCAGAUGUGUGAGAACAGUCCAGAUGUGUGAGAACAGUCCAGGUGUGUGAGAACAGUCCAUAUGUGUGAGAACAGUCCAUAUGUGUGAGAACAGUCCAGGUGUGUGAGAACAGUCCAGGUGUGUGAGAACAGUCCAGAUGUGUGAGAACAGUCCAGGUGUGUGAGAACAGUCCAGGUGUGUGAGAACAGUCCAGGUGUGUGAGAACAGUCCAGGUGUGUGAGAACAGUCCAGAUGUGUGAGAACAGUCCAGGUGUGUGAGAACAGUCCAGAUGUGUGAGAACAGUCCAGGUGUGUGAGAACAGUCCAGGUGUGUGAGAACAGUCCAGGUGAGAACAUCCAGGUGAGGUUGGGCCUCAGACAGUUGGACUGUGGUCUUCAGGUUUCCUCCAGGUGUUACUUACUGACAGAGCAGACGGCCGCAGAGCGUUGGAGCUCUGAGAGCAGCUGGCCGACCCGCCACCAGGAGCCGGUCCUGGGGCAGAGACCUGGUUCUGGUUCUGGG